UACAGAGGUCCCAAGCGUUGUUCGGAUUCACUGGGCGUAAAGGGUGCGUAGGUGGCCAGGUAAGUUCGGUGUGAAAGCUCGGAGCUUAACUCCGAAAUGUCAUUGAAUACUAUCUGGCUUGAGGGUCGGAGGGGAGACUGGAAUUCUCGGUGUAGCAGUGAAAUGCGUAGAUAUCGAGAGGAACACCAGUGGCGAAGGCGAGUCUCUGGACGACUCCUGACACUGAGGCGCGAAAGCUAGGGUAGCAAACGGG
rnacentral:rRNA from 1 species